UACGUAGGCAGCGAGCGUUGUUCGGAGUUACUGGGCGUAAAGAGUGCGUAGGCGGUUUUUCUAAGUUUUGGUGUGAAAAUCUCCCCGGCUCAACUGGGGAGGGGUGCGCCGAAGACUGGAAGGCUUUGAGUAUGGGGAGAGGUAAGCGGAAUUCCUGGUGUAGCGGUGAAAAUGCGUAGAUAUCAGGGAGGGAAACACCUGCGGGUGUAGACGGCUUUACUGGGACC
rnacentral:rRNA from 1 species